rnacentral:rRNA from 1 species
AUGCAGAACGAGGUGGGUGACAUGGUGGACCUCUACGUCCCCAGGAAGUGCUCGGCCACCAACAGGAUCAUCACGGCCAAGGACCACGCCUCUGUCCAGAUCAACAUUGGUCACGUUGAUGAGAAUGGCCUCUAUGAUGGCCGCUUCACCACCUUUGCUCUCUCUGGGUUCGUCCGUGCUCAGGGUGAUGCUGAUGGCUCCCUGGACAGGCUGUGGCAGAAGAGGAAGGCUGAGAUCAAGCAGCUCUAG